AUUGAACGCUGGCGGCAGGCUUAACACAUGCAAGUCGAGCGGGGUGAUGGUGCUUGCACUAUCACUUAGCGGCGGACGGGUGAGUAAUGCUUAGGAAUCUGCCUAUUAGUGGGGGACAACAUCUCGAAAGGGAUGCUAAUACCGCAUACGUCCUACGGGAGAAAGCAGGGGAUCACUUGUGACCUUGCGCUAAUAGAUGAGCCUAAGUCGGAUUAGCUAGUUGGUGGGGUAAGGGCCUACCAAGGCGACGAUCUGUAGCGGGUCUGAGAGGAUGAUCCGCCACACUGGGACUGAGACACGGCCCAGACUCCUACGGGAGGCAGCAGUGGGGAAUAUUGGACAAUGGGGGGAACCCUGAUCCAGCCAUGCCGCGUGUGUGAAGGAGGCCUUAUGGUUGUAAAGCACUUUAGGCGAGGAGGAGGCUCUUUUGGUUAAUACCCAAGAUGAGUGGACGUUACUCGCAGAAUAAGCACCGGCUAACUCUGUGCCAGCCGCCGCGGUAA
rnacentral:rRNA from 1 species